GUAGACGUAGACGAGGUGGCGUUUGACGUUGAUGCCGGCGAGGCGGGAUGCUUCGGCGUUGCCACCGAUCGCGACCGUGCGUCUGCC
rnacentral:tRNA from 1 species